UAGGGAAUCUUCGGCAAUGGACGAAAGUCUGACCGAGCAACGCCGCGUGAGUGAAGAAGGUUUUCGGAUCGUAAAACUCUGUUGUUAGAGAAGAACAAGGACGUUAGUAACUGAACGUCCCCUGACGGUAUCUAACCAGAAAGCCACGGCUAACUACGUGCCAGCAGCCGCGGUAAUACGUAGGUGGCAAGCGUUGUCCGGAUUUAUUGGGCGUAAAGCGAGCGCAGGCGGUUUCUUAAGUCUGAUGUGAAAGCCCCCGGCUCAACCGGGGAGGGGCAUUGGAAACUGAGAGACUUGAGUGCAGAAGAGGAGAGUGGAAUUCCAUGUGUAGCGGUGAAAUGCGUAGAUAUAUGGAGGAACACCAGUGGCGAAGGCGGCUCUCUGGUCUGUAACUGACGCUGAGGCUCGAAAGCGUGGGGAGCAAACAGG
rnacentral:rRNA from 1 species